rnacentral:tRNA from 1 species
GCGCUGGUGGUGUAAUGGCGUAAAGCAUUCCCGCUCGGUGAGCAGGAGGUGCUGGUUCGAGUCCCGCCUGACGCU